UACAGAGGUCUCAAGCGUUGUUCGGAUUCAUUGGGCGUAAAGGGCGCGUAGGCGGCGGGGUCAGUCGGGUGUGAAAUCUUGGGGCUUAACCCCGAAACGGCACUCGAAACUGCCCGGCUGGAGGGCCGGAGAGGAGAUCGGAAUUCACGGUGUAGCAGUGAAAUGCGUAGAGAUCAGGCAGAACACCUGGGGCGAAGGCGGCCGGCUGGGCCGUCCCUGACGCUGAGGCGCGAAGGCGUGGGGAGCGAACGGG
rnacentral:rRNA from 1 species